rnacentral:rRNA from 1 species
GACGAACGCUGGCGGCGUGCUUAACACAUGCAAGUCGAACGAAGAGCGAUGGAAGCUUGCUUCUAUCAAUCUUAGUGGCGAACGGGUGAGUAACGCGUAAUCAACCUGCCCUUCAGAGGGGGACAACAGUUGGAAACGACUGCUAAUACCGCAUACGAUCUAAUCUCGGCAUCGAGGAUAGAUGAAAGGUGUCCUCUACAUGUAAGCUAUCACUGAAGGUGGGGAUUGCGUCUGUUUGGCUAGUUGGAGGGGUAACGGCCCACCAAGGCGAUGAUCAGUAGCCGGUCUGAGAGGAUGAACGGCCACAUUGGGACGGAGACACGGCCCAGACUCCUAAGGGAGGCAGCAGUGGGGAAUCUUCCGCAAUGGACGAAAGUCUGACGGAGCAACGCCGCGUGAGUGAUGACGGCCGUCGGGUUGUAAAGCUCUGUUAAUCGGGACGAAAGGCCUUCUUGCGAAUAGUGAGAAGGAUUGACGGUACCGGAAUAGAAAGCCACGGCUAACUACGUG